CGACGAUCCGUAGCGGGUCUGAGAGGAUGAUCCGCCACACUGGGACUGAGACACGGCCCAGACUCCUACGGGAGGCAGCAGUGGGGAAUUUUGGACAAUGGGCGGAAGCCUGAUCCAGCCAUGCCGCGUGAGUGAAGAAGGCCUUCGGGUUGUAAAGCUCUUUCGGCGGGGAAGAAAUUGCACGGGUUAAUACCCUGUGUAGAUGACGGUACCCGAAUAAGAAGCACCGGCUAACUACGUGCCAGCAGCCGCGGUAAUACGUAGGGUGCGAGCGUUAAUCGGAAUUACUGGGCGUAAAGCGUGCGCAGGCGGUUUGGUAAGUCAGAUGUGAAAUCCCCGGGCUCAACCUGGGAACUGCAUUUGAGACUGCCAGGCUGGAGUUUGGCAGAGGGGGGUGGAAUUCCACGUGUAGCAGUGAAAUGCGUAGAGAUGUGGAGGAACACCGAUGGCGAAGGCAGCCCCCCUGGGCCAAUACUGACGCUCAUGCACGAAAGCGUGGGGAGC
rnacentral:rRNA from 1 species